UUCUCUUAUGUUUUAUUCACUUGUUUUCAUUAGGUAAAAGAAUGCCGUGGCAUGAAAACCUGUCCUGAAUGCACCGCCUGCUUGACAGAUAUAUACAAAGACUUGAAACCUGAGAGGAAAAGCGGAUGGUUGCAAGCAAAAAAAAAAAAAAAAAUCUAAACAAAAGAAUGGAAUUAAAGCCAGCACCGGGGCACGUAUUAAUACCAUGCGGCUGUCAUUGCCCGCACUGAUUCCUAGGAGCGAUGCAGAGCAUUGUGCUCAGCAGGAUAAGACUGACAGACCUCGAAUAUGAACCCCCACUGCCUUCUAAAGAGGAUUUCCCAUGGCCAGUAAGUUUUGCUCGGGAGCUCAUCCCAGAAGAGGCAGGCACAAGGCAAGGACCCGGCAUGCUGUGGCAGGCACCAGUGGGGCACUGCUGGGCUCUGCAGCUCCAUUUUCCCCCCAGCCCAGGUGAUAUUAAGCUGCUCCCAGUGGGGCUGGAAAGUCUGAAGAUGUCUGAGGAAUGGAAGAAUGGCAAACAAUGAGAUUGCUGGUGAUAAAGCAAUUCUGGAAAACGUUUGGAUGAAUUUUCUUCAGAAGAUCCACUUCCCUGUCACCCCUGCCUCUCUGUGCUCUGCUGAUGUUACCCUCUGCAACAAAGAGGUCACCAGAAGGAAGAUGUGCAGGAAGGAGGACUGCUAGGUGGAUAUUCCUAAACAUCCAGCACACCGCCAGGCACAGGGCAGGAACAUGCUGCAUUAGUUCUGGGCCUGAGCAGAGUUAGACAAAAUAGCUUGAAAAAUGGAAUGUAUUUCUUUGUGGAGGAGUCUCAGACCUAACACGGAUGUCAUGAAUAACUGAAAUUAUGUCUGAAUUUGAGAAGAAAAAAAACAACUUCCUCUGAGGAGAGGAGGAAGGAUUGGAACAGGAUGACCGACAGACAGAAAUCUUGCCCUUGUUGCAACACCAAAAUGCUUCCCAUUGACUUCUGGAUGCCGAGAUCUCCCCAUCAUGUCACGCUUUCUAGGAAGCCUUCAUAAAAUCAGGAUAAAUGACAGUGGAGUGUGAGGAGUGCUCCCCAGCCCCAUUGAAGGAAGAAAAUGGAAUGAAUGUGCAAUAAAUAUGGAAAAAAUUGGAAUGUUUGGAGUAAGGAUAAAUGGGCUGUGCUUCCACAGCUCACUUUUCCAGGCACAAUGCUCUCAUGGCUGCCAUAUGUGACAUGCUUUGUUGGAUUCUUCAGGACAACUCAGUCUCAGCUAGAAGAGAUUGCACCGAGCAACUUAGUUGGUGAUGCUUAGAAUCCAUUCUGUGCUGCUUCGUGGACAGCCCUAAACCCUGCAUACAUGGUUGGUACAGAACUGGGAGACCACAAAACCAGCUACCAGAGACAUACCUGAGGCAACAAAGAAAUGAAUUCAUGUCCGGCUACUGAGGGAAAAGUGCCAGUUAUUUGUGUAGUUAUGUACAACUGCUGCCCAGAAGUACUGCAAAGUGUCAAAUGUAAAUGCAGAGUGCAGAGGAGAUGUUGGUCCUGCUGGCAGGGUCCUUCACAGCGCUCCCAAGUGCCAACAUCUAAGAACCAAGCUGGACUGGACACCAGGGCAAUGCCAAAGAGUGUUCACAGGUGGGCACAGCACAGGCAAAUGAAUGCUAAAGAAAAUCUGGUGGAUGAUGUGACUCUUCUUAACAAAGGAACUAUUGUUUGUUUUGCCCAAUUCUGCCCCCUGGAGCUUUCAUCUGAGCCUUGGGAAAGCAAGCUGCCGUGUCCAGCACUGCUCCUGGCUGCACUCUCCUUGCUGUCCCUGCCUGGUUCCCUCAGUGCAUUCUCCAACACUUGAAAAUUCACCCGACUUGUGACUCACAUUUUAAUCUUAUCCAAGUCACAAUGUUUAUUUCACAGGAUGCCCAAUUAAACAGUAAUUCAGCCUGCUCUGGAGUUGUUUCCUUCCCAUAUGGUGAUUGGUAUAACCUGAAUAAUGUAGGAAGCACAGAAGAAAAGGCAGAAAACAACUUCAGUGAUACUGGGAGAGCAAGCUACAACUUCUCCCACUGAAGAAGAGUGGAAAAGAGCAUGCACAGAAGUGUUAAAUGCUCCCUGACUCCUAAGAAGAGGAGGGAAGGAUUUCAGACUGGGUAUCAGGAAAAACUUCUUCCUUUAAAAGAGUGGUCAGGAGAACAGGCUGCCCAGGGAGUCACAGU